rnacentral:rRNA from 1 species
GACGAACGCUGGCGGCGUGCUUAACCCCUGCCAGUCGAACGGAAAGUCCCUUCUUUUGUUGGGUUCUCGUUUUGCGAACUUGUGUGUUACCCGUGUGUAUCCUUCCCUUUUCUUUGUGAUAUCUUCUUGUAACUUCGGCUACUCCCCUAUAUGAUCUCCUUCUCCCUUGUGGUGGUUUGUUAUUUUCGGCGGUUGGGGAUGGACUCGCGGCUUAUCAGCUUGUUUGUGGGGUAGUGGCUUACCAAGGCUUUGACGGGUAGCCGGCCUGAGAGGGUGACCGGCGACAUUGGGACUGAGAUACGGCCCAGACGGCAACGGGAGGCAGCAGUGGGGAAUAUUGCACAAUGGGAGGAAGCCUGAUGCAGCAACGCCGCGUGCGGGAUGACGGCCUUCGGGUUGUAAACCGCUUUAGCCUGUGACGAAGCGUGAGUGACGGUAAUGGGUAAAGAAGCACCGGCUAACUACGUG